CUACUGUUAUUUACCUUUUUCAUUUAAAUCGCUAUUUUUGAUGAGCUAAUUUUAAAUCAUUAAAAUUUAUAUAGUUAAUCUGAUUAUCGAGAUGAGAUCUGUCUCACAUAUUCAUUGUUAGUUUGAAUUUAAGCCUGUCCCUUUCCUGUUCAGUUAUACAAGUUUAGCUAAAAUUAUUUACAGUUAUGUCAAAAGUUAUACAGAC
rnacentral:misc_RNA from 1 species